AGUCUGGUGCCAGCAGCCGCGGUAAUUCCAGCUCCAAUAGCGUAUAUUAAAGUUGUUGCAGUUAAAAAGCUCGUAGUUGAAAUUUGGGCCUGGCUGGCCGGUCCGCCUCACCGCGUGCACUGGUCCGGCCGGGCCUUUCCUUCUGGGGAAGCCCAUGGCCUUCAUUGGCUGUGUGGGGGAACCAGGACUUUUACUUUGAAAAAAUUAGAGUGUUCAAAGCAGGCCUUUGCUCGAAUACAUUAGCAUGGAAUAAUGGAAUAGGACGGCUUUCCUAUUUUGUUGGUUUCUAGGAGAGCCGUAAUGAUUAAUAGGGAUAGUCGGGGGCAUCAGUAUUCAAUUGUCAGAUGUGAAAUUCUUGGAUUUAUUGAAGACUAACUACUGCGAAAGCAUUUGCCAAGGAUGUUUUCAUUAAUCAGUGAACGAAAGUUAGGGGAUCGAAGACGAUCAGAUACCGUCGUAGUCUUAACCAUAAACUAUGCCGACUAGGGAUCGGUCGAUGUUACAAUUUUGACUCGAUCGGCACCUUACGAGAAAUCAAAGUUUUUGGGUUCUGGGGGGAGUAUGGUCGCAAGGCUGAAACUUAAAGAAAUUGACGGAAGGGCACCACCAGGAGUGGAGCCUGCGGCUUAAUUUGACCCAACACGGGGAAACUCACCAGGUUCGGAUAUGAUAAGGAUUGACAGAUUGAGAGCUCUUUCUUGAUUUCAUAGUUGGUGGUGCAUGGCCGUUCUUAGUUGGUGGAGUGAUUUGUCUGCUUAAUUGCGAUAACGAACGAGACCUUAACCUGCUAAAUAGCCCGGCUGGCUUCGGCUGGUCGCUGGCUUCUUAGAGGGACUAUCGGCUCAAGCCGAUGGAAGUUUGAGGCAAUAACAGGUCUGUGAUGCCCUUAGAUAUCCUGGGCUGCACGCGCGCUACACUGACGGAGCCAACGAGUUCACUCCCUUGGCCGAAAGGUCUGGGUAAUCUUGUUAAACUCCGUCGUGCUGGGGAUAGUCGAUUGCAAUUAUUCGACUUCAACGAGGAAUGCCUAGUAAGCGCAUGUCAUCAGCAUGCGUUGAUUACGUCCCUGCCCUUUGUACACACCGCCCGUCGCUACUACCGAUUGAACGGCUCAGCGAGGCCUUCGGACUGACUCAGGGAGUUCGGCGACGAGCACCCAGAGAUGGAAAGUUGGUCAAACUUGGUCGUUUAGAGGAAGUAAAGUCGUAACAAGGUUUCCGUAGGUGAACCUGCGGAAG
rnacentral:rRNA from 1 species